CAUUCAGUAGCUUGCUACUGUUAGGAGGGUCUGUCAGUCUGUAUAGUAUCACUACUGAUGAGCAGCGCGACCCUCUGUCUGUACCCUUGUCUUUUGCGCACUCAUGUUUCCUCGGCGGGGUUAUACCCGCCGGCUGGACAACUCUAUAACCUUUUUAAUUUUCAAUCAGCGUCUGAAAAACAUAAUAAUUA
rnacentral:misc_RNA from 1 species